rnacentral:rRNA from 1 species
GACGAACGCUGGCGGCGUGCUUAACACAUGCAAGUCGAACGGAAAGGCCCCUUUGGGGGUACUUGCGUGGCUAACGGGCGAGUAACACGUGCGUAACUUGCCUUCCCCUUCGGGAUAACUUCCGUAAACUGGGUCUAAUUCCUGCUAGGUAUCCUUUCCGCCUGGUUGGGGUUGGAUAGAUUCGGCGGUUUUGGAUGGACUCGCGGCUUAUUAGCGUGUUGGUGGGGUAGUGGCUUACCAAGGCUUUGACGGGGAGCCGGCCUGGGUGGGCGACCGGCCACAGUGGGACUGAGGUACGGCCCAGACUCCUACGGGAGGCAGCAGUGGGGAAUAUUGCACAAUGGGGGGAAGCCUGAUGCAGCAACGCCGCGUGCGGGAUGACGGCCUUCGGGUUGUAAACCGCUUUCAGCAGGGGCGAAGCUUGUGGUGACGGUACCUGCAGAAGAAGCACCGGCUAACUACGUG